GGCAUUGCCCCAGUAACGGCGAGUGAAGCGGCAACAGCUCAAAUUUGAAAUCUGGCCCCCCCCCGGGGGGCCCGAGUUGUAAUUUGCAGAGGAUGCUUUGGGCGAGGCGCCUUCCGAGUUCCCUGGAACGGGACGCCACAGAGGGUGAGAGCCCCGUCUGGUCGGACGCCGAGCCUCUGUAAAGCUCCUUCGACGAGUCGAGUAGUUUGGGAAUGCUGCUCAAAACGGGAGGUAUAUGUCUUCUAAAGCUAAAUACCGGCCAGAGACCGAUAGCGCACAAGUAGAGUGAUCGAAAGAUGAAAAGCACCUUGAAAAGGGGGUUAAACAGUACGUGAAAUUGUUGAAAGGGAAGCGCUCGUGACCAGACUUGGGGCGGGCGGAUCAGCCGGCGUUCUCGCCGGCGCACUCCGCCCGUCCCAGGCCAGCAUCAGUUCGCGCCGGGGGACAAAGGCGGCGGGAACGUGGCUCCCCAGGGAGUGUUAUAGCCCGCCGCGCCAUGCCCCGGGGGCGGACUGAGGGCCGCGCAUCACUGCAAGGAUGCUGGCGUAAUGGUCACCAGCGACCCGUCUUGAAACACGGGCCAAGGAGUCGUCCUCGUAUGCGAGUGUUCGGGUGUCAAACCCCUACGCGGAAUGAAAGUGAACGUGGGUGAGAGCUUCGGCGCAUCAUCGACCGAUCCUGAUGUUCUCGGAUGGAUUUGAGUAGGAGCAUACGGGGCCGGACCCGAAAGAAGGUGAACUAUGCCUGUGUAGGGUGAAGCCAGAGGAAACUCUGGUGGAGGCUCGCAGCGGUUCUGACGUGCAAAUCGAUCGUCAAACAUGGGCAUGGGGGCGAAAGACUAAUCGAA
rnacentral:rRNA from 1 species